rfam:Pan troglodytes isolate Yerkes chimp pedigree #C0471 (Clint) chromosome 1, whole genome shotgun sequence.
GCUGGGCGUGGUGGUGCAUGCCUGUAAUCCUAACUACUUGGGAGGCUGAGGCAGGAGGAUCGCUUGAGCCCAGUAGGUGGAGGUUGCAGUGAGCUGAGAUCUUGCCACUGCACUCCAGCCUGGGUGACAGAGCGAGACCCUGUCUCAA